UGGAUCCAGACUUUGAUCAUGGCUCAGGACGAACGCUGGCGGCGUGCCUAAUACAUGCAAGUCGAGCGAGCUUGCCUAGAUGAUUUUAGUGCUUGCACUAAAUGAAACUAGAUACAAGCGAGCGGCGGACGGGUGAGUAACACGUGGGUAACCUGCCCAAGAGACUGGGAUAACACCUGGAAACAGAUGCUAAUACCGGAUAACGACACUAGACGCAUGUCUAGAGUUUGAAAGAUGGUUCUGCUAUCACUCUUGGAUGGACCUGCGGUGCAUUAGCUAGUUGGUAAGGUAACGGCUUACCAAGGCAAUGAUGCAUAGCCGAGUUGAGAGACUGAUCGGCCACAUUGGGACUGAGACACGGCCCAAACUCCUACGGGAGGCAGCAGUAGGGAAUCUUCCACAAUGGACGAAAGUCUGAUGGAGCAACGCCGCGUGAGUGAAGAAGGGUUUCGGCUCGUAAAGCUCUGUUGGUAGUGAAGAAAGAUAGAGGUAGUAACUGGCCUUUAUUUGACGGUAAUUACUUAGAAAGUCACGGCUAACUACGUGCCGGCAGCCGCGGUAAUACGUAGGUGGCAAGCGUUGUCCGGAUUUAUUGGGCGUAAAGCGAGUGCAGGCGGUUCAAUAAGUCUGAUGUGAAAGCCUUCGGCUCAACCGGAGAAUUGCAUCAGAAACUGUUGAACUUGAGUGCAGGAGAGGAGAGUGGAACUCCAUGUGUAGCGGUGGAAUGCGUAGAUAUAUGGAAGAACACCAGUGGCGAAGGCGGCUCUCUGGUCUGCAACUGACGCUGAGGCUCGAAAGCAUGGGUAGCGAACAGGAUUAGAUACCCUGGUAGUCCAUGCCGUAAACGAUGAGUGCUAAGUGUUGGGAGGUUUCCGCCUCUCAGUGCUGCAGCUAACGCAUUAAGCACUCCGCCUGGGGAGUACGACCGCAAGGUUGCAACUCAAAUGAAUUGACGGA
rnacentral:rRNA from 1 species